rnacentral:misc_RNA from 1 species
GUCUCAAGGAGUUUCUAGCAACAAUAAAGCAAUAUGUUUUUCUUGUGAGGUCAGCUGAAGAUGCAAAUAUAUUUCUUGUCAAUGACUUACAAGAUCCGCUCCAGAGAACUCUUUCUUCCUUGGAGCUUCCCGGGGCCGUUUCUGUUGCCAACAGUCCAACUUCAUCUAUUGCACCUAGUAAAUCUUCAUUCAGUCGGACAGACGGUGAAGCCCUUGAUAAGAACUCCGCAGUUAUU